GACGAACGCUGGCGGCGCGCUUAACACAUGCAAGUCGAGCGAAGCGGCGGACGGGUGAGUAACACGUGAGUAACCUGCCUUAGACAUUUGGAUAGCCUCGGGAAACCGGGAUUAAUACCAAAUGGUCUAAGAUGGACUCGCGUCCCAUUAGCUAGUUGGUGAGGUAACGGCCCACCAAGGCGACGAUGGAUAGCCGGCCUGAGAGGGUGGACGGAGACAUUGGAACUGGGAAGCGGUAGGAAAUCUACGGGAGGGAGCAGAGGGGGAUAGUGCAAAAUGGAGGGAACGAUGAAGCAGCGAGGCCGCGAAAACGAAGAAGGCUGUCGAGUCGUAAAGUGCUUGUAUAUGAGAGGCGGUACCAUAAAAAAAAGCCCCGGCUAACUACGUGCCAGCAGCCGCGGUAAUUC
rnacentral:rRNA from 1 species